rnacentral:tRNA from 1 species
UGGCGCGUAGUUCAGAGGAGAACAGUAGAUUUUGACUCUAUAGUUGCGGGUUCGAUUCCCGCCGCGCUAG